rnacentral:rRNA from 1 species
AUUGAAAGCUGGCGGCAGGCCUCAAAAAUGCAAGUCGAACGAGUGGCGGACGGGGGGGUAAUGUCUGGGAAACUGCCUGAUGGAGGGGGAUAACUACUGGAAAAGGUAGCUAAUACCGCAUACCAUCAGAUGUGCCCAGAUGGGAUUAGCUAGUAGGUGGGGUAAAGGCUCACCUAGGCGACGAUCCCUAGCUGGUCUGAGAGGAUGACCAGCCACACUGGAACUGAGACACGGUCCAGACUCCUACGGGAGGCAGCAGUGGGGAAUAUUGCACAAUGGGCGCAAGCCUGAUGCAGCCAUGCCGCGUGUAUGAAGAAGGCCUUCGGGUUGUAAAGUACUUUCAGCGGGGAGGCGUUACCCGCAGAAGAAGCACCGGCUAACUCCGUGCCAGCCGCCGCGGUAAUUC